UUGGCUUGCGGUGUUCUUGCCGGUGUUGGUGCUCUGCGGCUUUGCCGGCACAGUUUCACUUGCAGUUAAGUAAGAAUAAGGGCUGUGCUGCGCCGCUGUGGCUACUACUUGCUGUGGCUGGGGGGCCUGUGUUCCUAUCCUUCCUGCGGGGGAGACUGUUGUGCUGUAUGCUGGAGCAGUGGGCCAAAGCGGGAGGCAGACUGAUUUGGGUGGCGGAGUCCCUUUUUCACCUUCCCUGUAGUAUAGAGCACUUUGUGUGGCGUUGAGGAGCAGUGGGCCAAAGCGGGAGGCAGACUGAUUUGGGUGGCGGAGUCCCUUUUUCACCUUCCCUGUAGUAUAGAGCACUUUGUGUGGCGUUGAGGUGUGUAGUGUGAUCACCUGUGGUGUGUAGUGUAGGUGCUCCCCCCCCCUCUACUCUCAUACUUUCUUCUGCUGUGGUGAGCCCCUUAGCCCUGUUCCGUUUGCCACCAGAAUUUUAUGAAAUUGUAUAUGGAUCCAUAGGAUAUUAAAUUUAAUUGUAUUUGUGUCUUUUUAUUGUGCCAGGGUCCAGUAGGGGGCUUGUGUCCUGACCUGU